rnacentral:rRNA from 1 species
UACGUAGGGGGCUAGCGUUGUCCGGAAUCAUUGGGCGUAAAGCGCGUGUAGGCGGCCCGAUAAGUCCGCUGUGAAAGUCCAGGGCUCAACCCUGGGAUGCCGGUGGAUACUGUCGGGCUCGAGUCCGGAAGAGGCGAGUGGAAUUCCUGGUGUAGCGGUGAAAUGCGCAGAUAUCAGGAGGAACACCAAUGGCGAAGGCAGCUCGCUGGGACGUGACUGACGCUGAGACGCGAAAGCGUGGGGAGGCAAACAGG